UUGAACUCCUGCAGGGAUCAGUUUUUAGGCUUGAGGGAGUGCGUAAAGGUGAAAUGUAGCUAUACAGGUUGCAGAAGAGAGGAGGAACUGGUCAAUAACAUUUUAACCUGAUCAAAUCAUAGAAAUUAUACCAAAGGGAUCAAUCAGUUUUAGUCCUAGAUUUGUGUAAAGUACAAAAUAAUUUACACUUACACUAUUCGUCAUGUUUUUAGGAUUUUGCAGCAAUGCUUCUAAAGAGUUUAUUGCUGUUUUUCAUCAUUUUCAUCAUUAAUCAUCUUUAAAGUUUACAGGAAAAACAAGUUUAUAUUCUAGUUUGAUUACACCAGAAAAAUCAAAGAGCUACUAUUCCUAGAAUUAAAGAUUAUACUUGAUGAAAUGGAAAGUUUCGGUGUUUUUGGUGACGUAAUGCAUAGCUAUUUCUAUUAUUCCCCUCACCAGGAGGCUAAAAUAUGAUUAGUUUAUUUCCUAACUGUGAUCAGUUGUCUCAGUACUACCCCGCUGCCAUACAGUAUCAGUAGUUUGGAUCAAGUUGGAUCCGCGCACCACGCACACCCACACCCUGCUACUGAAACCAUAAUGUUUUCAUACGCACGGGGCUCAUCAUACACUGCUGAAACCACUGAAGCCUGCAUGUAACCUGCCAGCCUUCCAGCCCUCACACGCAAAUACAAUAAGAACCAAAGCGAUCUCAUCAUAACAAACAUGUGAAGAAAGCAUGAUGGAAUAUUUAGAAGGUGCUGAAGACUUGACCACCUAUAUAGACUUGACCUAUAUCUCCAUCCUGCGCCAUGACGCACUGACAUAUUUCAUCCUUAUUAUCGAAAUGAUCAUUUAUUAUUCAAGACAGAAUUAUUAGCAUCGGGUGGCAGAUGUCAGAGCGCGACGGAGAUGUUUAUGUUUGACUGAUUUAAGGAGCCAUUAUCCCGCCUGCCUAUCAAACAUUUAUGCGUGGGGCAGCUGUAGUUGUGGAUCUGUCCUCCAUCACGUCUCCUGUGGCCGCUUCAUUUCUCAUCUUAAGAAACCACGACCUUUCCACUCAGUUAACCUAUUAUCUUUUAACAUUUAAGAGACAGCUCAGGCACAGAGGAAAAAUAAUCCGAGGGCUUCAAAAGCGUUACCAGUGAAAAUGUCGUAUUAAAUGAAAAAAUAAAGAGCUAUAGUGACCCAAAGUGCAUUUGUAGCCUAAAUUAUAGAAAGAAAGAUAAGCCUCAGUAGAAACCUUUUACAGUUUAUCACGUGUGUGAACAUAAUUAUUAACAUUACCCUACUGUAAAAAAAAAAAAAAAAAAAAAAAAAAAAAAGCAUCUUUAAUUUACUGUUGAUCUCUACAUCCAUAUUAUUAGGAAUUUAGACGAAUAUUAGUGAGUUUUCCUUUGGUGCAAAGCACUGACUGAUGAUGACAUGUUAGAAAAGAUAAAAGCAGAGCAACUAAUUGUCGUGUGAGCAAUAAAAGAAUCAUUAUUCUACAAAUAAGAAGCAAUUACUAGUUGUUAAACACUCUAAAGAUUUAUCCAUCUCAUGUAAAGUCAUGUUUUUGCUCUAACAUUAAAGUUUAUUAGGAUGUCACUAAAAACCCUAAUAAUGAUUUAUGCUUUAGUUUCAAUUUCACUGCUAAUAAACAUCCCAUAAAUCCAGGAAUAAAAUUUAAAAGUAUUUGCUAUGUUUUAUUUGUGCUUGUUUGGUCGCUUCUUUUGAUUUAACCUCAAAAUGUCCCCAAAUGCCCCAUAAAAAUCCAAUCCAAAUCGUUUGGGAACUGAGUAUUUCACACGAAAAAUUCUGCACUCCAAUAUAAUAUUUUCUCCCUCAGUCCACUGUGGUCCAGCCGCCAUGCCUUUUUGUAAUUGCCCUGUAAACACGGUGGUUUUCAUUCUUCUGACCCCUCCAUGAACAGCACGCCGCAGCCCUCGCCGCUCCCUUCCACCUCUUCCAAACAGUUCCACACAAUGCUGCGUGUGCGUGUGCGCUCUGCGGUAUGUGGGCUAAAUGUCACGCAGAGGUAAUGGGAAGUAGUCGGAAGGUAAGGUCGAGGGUUCACGGCGGGGUUAAAGAGACCCGUCCACGGCUCCUGUUUGCUUUUUCCACAACUCCGCUUCCUUCCUACAGGAGGAUGUGUCCAGUGCCACCAUCCUCACCCCGCAACAACCCCGUCACCGCGCAGACCGUGUUUGUUUUUCUGCGUUUAUUAAAUCUUCCCCGGCAGGAAAACAACCAAUAUCACCACGUCACUGGGGUGCAAAGACAUCUAUACUGGAGACAGGAGACUGAGAUUUUGGUCGCCUGCCUAUCUCCUCCUCGCCAUGGCGCCCCUGAGACCAAGCAAGCAAGGAGAGUACACAUACACACACAAUUUUAGCUGCCACAGAGGAGAACAGCUUGGCUCUGUGUUACACUGAAAACCCACUUUCCCUCAAACAGACAGACAGGUAGACAGCUGGGUGUUAUGCUAAAUCCCUUCCCCCAUGUGUCCCUCCUUACCGGGGCUCCACUCUUACUGUCACUCCUCUCUCUCUGCUGCUGCUCUCUUUAUCUCAUGCCACAUGCUUAGAGGGGAGAGGAGGGAGACUGUAUUUGUAAAAAUGUAACUAUGAUAUGAUUGUGCAAUGGGGUGUGAUUUAUCAAUUAUUUAGAACAAAUUUUUGGGUUUAAAAUUGUGUCAUCAGUCGACACAAACAGCAAUUUAACGCAACCCAAAUGAUGGAAUCAUGUCUGCAGCAGAGGUGAUAUCUGUCCUCCUCCACCAUGACCCCAAGUUCACUCCUUGUAAGCACCACUUCACCCCAAGCCCAUGUUUGGUGUGUGUGUACGUGUGUGUGUGAGUGUUUGCUUGAAGCUUUUUGAUAUCCUGUGCGUGAUAGUGAGAGAAAGAUGAGAGGGGAUGAUGGUCAGGCUUGGCCUACUGACUCAUCCACAGAGAGUGUUGAGUGUGUUGAAACAGAAAUGAAGCCAUCACACACUCACUCACUUUACACACACACACACACACACACACACGCACAUGCAAGCUGACAGCCUCUUCCCAUCAGUCUUUUGUUGUGCUUUCCAGUGAUGAUGAUCUCACCACAUAGCAGGACUAAGCCUCAAUAGUCAGACAGUCACUCAGCCAGCCAGUCAGUUUGGCAGGCAGACAGGCAGCCAGUCAAUAAACCCAUCAGUCAUUCAGCCAGGCAGCCAUUAGACUGGUGGCAAGUGAGUUGGCAAAUUAUCAAAUCACCAACUUAUUCAGUCUGUUAGGCAGGUUAGCGAUCAAACAAGGUCCUGUACUCUAAUUAGUAUUUGAUUUCAGCUUUAAACUUGGCACUUAUCAUGUUAUUCCUAAAAUAUGAUACCUGUGUUUUAUUGGGUUACUUUUAUGAGGAAGUACCAGGAUCAGAAAAUAAAUGGACUGAAAGAGGAAGAAGAAGUGCAUUAAAAAGAAUGACACAAAAAGUUUACUACAGCUUUUUUUUGUUGUUGUUGUAUCUUUUUACCCCAGUGUAGUUAGUAUAUUUAUCUAGGGUUUUUUUUUAUAAUUAGGAUUUGCAGCAUCGGGUCAGAGAGAAGUCGGGACAAUAAAUGUUCUUUUCUUCCUGUUGGGGCAGUUGAAGGAGACUCAAAAUAAGUGAAGAAAUGCUAAAAAAAAAUCGCAACAAUCUCACAUUAUAUUACUUGCAAAUAAUACAGUAGUUUAUGAAUGAAACACAUCUAUGUUUACUACUGGGUCACUGGGCUAAAACUUUACACAAACACAGCGGUAGUAUAACUAUAUAUACCUGUUUUAACUCUAGACUUGAUCCUAAUCUUAUGGUUUAUUUGCUUGUACUCUGGCUUGUUGUUUUUGGCAUUGAAUUGUUUACAAACUGUCAUCCAUUUAUAUUUUUUUCAUCUUUUUAAUGUUUGUUUUCCAUGUAAAGCACAUAAACUGCAUUUUUACUUGAAUAAAUAAACCUCUAAUUCUUUACCUUC